GUACAUGUAAAGUACAAGGGAGUGCGAAAAUAAAAUCAUUCAAGUGAAAGUUAAUUCUAGAAUUUAAACUCUAUCUAAGCAUGCAUUAGAACCAAUGUUAACCACAUGUGAAAUAACAGCUGACAAGGAAUAUACGACAAUCUAAGUUAAUCGAUCAGUUAGAAACUUCUAUAAGUCCUAAAACUAGGGGAGCAUGCAAGAUUAGCCUAUUUCUAAUCCUAGGGGUAAAAUCGUCAUUUCACAAUCCUGGUUUCAUUUCUAUACAUGAAAGUCCUAAUUAAAAAACAAUUAAAUUCUAAACUAAAUUUAAUGUUUCUAAUAUUUCUAAAUCCUACUCUUCCAAAAAUUAUAACCUAAAUCUAAAAAUUCUAAUGAACCUAAAUUCCUAAUUAUUUUUAACAUUUCUAAUACUAUUUCUAAUCCUAAAAUUAUUUCUAAUUGUUCUAAAUAAACUCUAAUCCUAAUUUUCCUAAUUAAUCCUAAUCAUGACUAAUUUAAUCUAAUCAAUACCUAAUCAUCUAAUUAAGCUAAUUAACCUACAU
rnacentral:lncRNA from 1 species